rnacentral:rRNA from 1 species
UACGUAGGCAGCGAGCGUUGUUCGGAGUUACUGGGCGUAAAGGGCGUGUAGGCGGUUGUUUAAGUUUGGUGUGAAAUCUCCCGGCUCAACUGGGAGGGUGCGCCGAAUACUGAAUGACUUGGAGUGCGGGAGAGGAGAGUGGAAUUCCUGGUGUAGCGGUGAAAUGCGUAGAUAUCAGGAGGAACACCGGUGGUGUAGACGGCUCUCUGGACCGUAACUGACGCUGAGACACGAAAGCGUGGGUAGCAAGCAGG